GGACAAUUAACUCAAUGGCAGAGUAGCUGGUUUUUAACCAGAAGGCUAAAGGUUCAAGUCCUUUAUUGUCCACCA
rnacentral:tRNA from 1 species